rnacentral:rRNA from 1 species
UACGGGGGGGGCAAGCGUUGUUCGGAAUUACUGGGCGUAAAGGGCUCGUAGGUGGCCAACUAAGUCAGACGUGAAAUCCCUCGGCUUAGCCGGGGAACUGCGUCUGAUACUGGAUGGCUUGAGUUCGGGAGAGGGAUGCGGAAUUCCAGGUGUAGCGGUGAAAUGCGUAGAUAUCUGGAGGAACACCGGUGGCGAAGGCGGCAUCCUGGACCGGUAUUGACGCUGAGGCGCGAAAGCCAGGGGAGCAAAGCGGG